rnacentral:misc_RNA from 1 species
UGAAGAACAAGAUCUUGUAUGCCACAUAUGAAGUUGUCAACUCAUAGGUUCUAUAACAAAUUCAUAAUCAUAGUUUCUGCAGCUCUUUGCUAAUCACGGGUUAGUUAAACAAUAAAUGGUUGCAACAAUACUGCAAACAGGCAAGAGCUUCCAAACACAAAGCUAACUGUACACACCAGCCUCAAUAAGCCAUCAUGUGUAAUACGUAUUCAAUAAUGCAUUCAUGCACAAGCAGUAAAUGUAAAAUCCUUAAAACAUGUAGUGACAGUGUAAUUA